rnacentral:rRNA from 1 species
CAAAGAUUAAGCCAUGCAUGUCUAAGUAUAAACAAAUUUAUACAGUGAAACUGCGAAUGGCUCAUUAAAUCAGUUAUAAUUUAUUUGAUAUUCACUUACUACUUGGAUAACCGUGGUAAUUCUAGAGCUAAUACAUGCGUACAUAACCUCGACUUCUGGAAGAGGUGCACUUAUUAGAUAAAAAGCCAACGCGGGCAACCGCUUGUAUGGUGAUUCAUAAUAAUUAAUCGAAUCGCAUGGCCUUGUGCCGGCGAUGAUGCAUUCAAAUUUCUGCCCUAUCAAGUUUCGAUGGUAGGUUAGUGGCCUACCAUGCUUUUAACGGGUAACGGGGAAUUAGGGUUCGAUUCCGGAGAGGGAGCCUGAGAAACGGCUACCACAUCCAAGGAAGGCAGCAGGCGCGCAAAUUACCCAAUCCCGACACGGGGAGGUAGUGACAAUAAAUAACAAUACAGGGCCUUUACGGGUCUUGUAAUUGGAAUGAGUACAAUUUAAAUCCCUUAACGAGGAACAAUUGGAGGGCAAGUCUGGUGCCAGCAGCCGCGGUAAUUCCAGCUCCAAUAGCGUAUAUUAAAGUUGUUGCAGUUAAAAAGCUCGUAGUUGAAUUUUGGCCUUCGYCUGUGGGGUUCGGUCUUCAUUGAUCGGUACCUCAACGGACGGGGCUCCACCUUCUGGGUUAGCCAGUCGUCAUUUCGGUGGCGGCUGGUGAACCAGAACUUUUACUUUGAAAAAAUUGGAGUGUUUAAAGCAGGCUUUCAAGCUUGAACAUAUUAGCAUGGAAUAAUGAAAUAGGACUUUGGCCUUAUUUCGUUGGUUUCUAAAGCCAAAGUAAUGAUGAAUAGGGAUAGUUGGGGACAUUAGUAUUCAAUUGUCAGAGGUGAAAUUCUUGGAUUUAUUGAAGACUAACUUCUGCGAAAGCAUUUGUCAAGGAUGUUUUCAUUAAUCAAGAACGAAAGUUAGGGGAUCGAAGACGAUCAGAUACCGUCGUAGUCUUAACCAUAAACUAUGCCGACUAAGGAUCGGAUGGUGUUAUAUUUUAUAUUGACCCAUUCGGCAUUUCAGCGAAAGCCAAGUUUUUGGGUUCCGGGGGGAGUAUGGUCGCAAGGCUGAAACUUAAAGG